UCUGUGUGGGGCAUAGUUCUUAAACCAUGCUUAUGGUCUAAUGACGUAAAAAAAGCAGAGUUCUUUCCACAUUAUGAAGUAUACAAUCUUAGGGGGAUGGGGAGACAGUGACUUAAAGCAUCACAUAAAUGAAUGCAAAUUAUGGCUGUGUAAAGGAGAGGCCCCUCGUGCAAAGAAAACAAAGCAGGGAAACCUUUUCUCCUCUGGGGUUGAGUGAAGACCUUCCUAGUGGAGGAAAGGAAUAUAAAGAUGUCGCAGGAAAAAGAGAAGCCAGUGUGGCCAGAUCUUCAAAGAAAGAGAUAUCCUUUCGAGGCAACACAAGAAGCCAACUACAGAUGAGAAUAUUAUUCUCUUGGUGCAGGGAUUGUUGCAUGUGGACCCCAUCAGCCUUGAAAAGUCCAUGCAAUGGAGUGAAACUUGACAAAGCAGUUGCAGUCGUUCACCAGUGAAGCAAAGUCUUCUUCCUAGUCAUGCGGAAAAUAAAAAUCAAUAUGUCACAUGUACGUAGUUUUAAAAAUCAAAUAAUUCUGACUGUUAUAAUUUAAAAAUCUCAGAUUAAAAAAGUAAAACUCUCAACCACAGAGAAACAUCUAAAAUGGAGAAUUACAUUCCAAAGCACAAUAAUUUAUGUCUGGAAGGAUGUUAACUGAUGGAAUUUUUAUUUAGCCUAUUAUUUCAAGUUUCAGCAUAGUGAUGCCUCUGCCUUAAGGUAGAAGUUAGUUUAAUUCUUGAAAUCUCAGUUGAAAGAAUUCUGGUGAACUCUAUUCCAAUCAACAGACAUUCACAUUAACUAACUUCCUGAUGGAGGAGAAACAGUCUGCAAACGCUGAAUAUGGAAGACAGGCAAUAAUGCCCAUUCACAGUAUUUUUCCACCACUUCUGCUAUAAGUUAAGAUUGUAACAGAUAGAAUAUUAAUUUCAAUAAAAGAGUUUGAAAUGAU